AGCCCUGCCUGAUACUUUUAACACUUCAUGUCAAUCUAUUUAUUCUGAUUACAAGCUAAUUGUAGUCUAAGAGGUCAGCUGUGAGUAAAUGACUGUUAGCUAUCUAAAAGCAUUAUUGAACUCUAAUGCCAUUUAUUUCUAGCCAUCAACUAUAGUUUACAUGAUUUUACAUGCUAUUAAUACUCUCGCAAUUUUAGUAAUUCCACCUGCAUCAGGAUUAUGUUGGCUUUUGUAUUCUGGACUAUGAUAAGAAUUUCCAUGUAUAAUUAUCCUUUCCUGGGACAAUGUAUUCUGUAAAUGGUUGUGGUAUAUACACUUUAAGUCUAAGGGGUCCUACGUACCUAUGUAAAUGAUAUGAUUGAGUUGGUUGGGUUUUCCUCAUUGUGACACCUGGGAAAAUCCAUGUUAAGGGAGCAAAUAAUUAUUUUGGUUCAUGGUUUCAGAGGUUUCCGUCAUGCUGGGUCGGCCCCUGUUGUUGCUUUGGGCCUGUGCUGACACUUGGUAUCAUGUUGGGAAGUGGAUGGUAGAGGACCUGCUCAUGUUGUCCACGAAGCAAAGGGGCAGGGAUGGUUAGGUUCCCCAUAUUUUGUUCAAGAGCAUGCCCCUAGAGUCUUCUAACUUCAUCCCCUGAGGCCUCCACCACCUGUCAGCAGUACCAGAAUCUGGUAACCAAGGCUAUAAUCAACACAUGGGCUGCUCAAGGGUACGCACCUAAACUUUUACAAAGAAGGACAAGAACAUAUAUUUAAUUAUACAUAGUCUUUGUGUGUAAAGCUGUCUUCAGAUGAUUCUCAUAGCAUUUCCAUCUUUGUAUGGUCUUUCUAAGUCGUAGCUGUGAAUUUCAGUUAUCACACUCAUCCGGGGAUAAGAAUUCCAGUUAUUACCCCAUUGAACAUGAAGUGCUCAUUCAUAGAACGCUGUUGAUAGGACUGUGUUCCUAAACACACAUGAGUAUACUUUCAAAGAGAAUGUUUCUUCUCCCCCAUUUUGUGAAUCUAUGUUUCAUGGAGGUUACUAUGUUUAAAAAUGUUCUUGCAUGAAGUCUUCUAUGAAUCUAUCCUGGAAGUUUUACUUUUAAGACCUAAAAAAAAAAAUCAUGUAGAUCUUAGUUAUAUGUUACAGCAUAAAAUGAUUGAUGAGCUUUGUAUUUCUUGGACUCCCUUCUCUGUUUGGAGUGUUCUGGGAGGCAAGGUGGAGUGGGGGUACACAGUUCCUGGUGCUUAUUAACAAGCACUACCAUGGGAACCACUGUCUGUAUUGCUUGAGGUCAGAGCUGCUGCUCCAGGAUUUUGUCAUCAGCUAUCUUUGUCCUCUGCUUAGCCACUUUUCAGAAGAAUGUCUUUUCCCUUUUUCUUUUAGUGCCUCUGAUAGGCAUUUCCUGUUCUGUUUUCAAAUCUUACUAAACUUGAAAAAAAGUUUUUGAACCUUGGAACACGUAAUAUCCUGAUCUGCUUUCAGUACUAAUGCCAGUGAGUAAAAUUAUCCUAAUUGCUUUUAAUCUCUUAGUCACUUUAGUUUUGGUAUGAGAACAUUGUGGUAUUUCUGAACAGGCUUUUGUGCCAGAAAAAUAAUAUAAAUCCAUUGCUCAGAAAAAUAGUGCCAUUAGGAGCCAUCAGCAGCUCAUAAUAAUGGCAAUUAGUGACAGUCAGGGGCCCAGUUACUGUUGGCUGUAUCUGACAUUUUUAAAAAAAAGCAAAACAUACAAGGUUUAUUUUAUUAUUAUUUCUUUCUACUUGGUAUAAGUAUUUUUACAUCUGCAUGUGAUUAUUCUGCCUUGUAACUACCACCUCAGGCUCAGUUCUUUUUUAGGGGAAAAAAUGAAUUCCUUAUGUAAUAAGUUAUAGUUUGGAAAUUUUCUCGGACAGACCAUGAGCUCUUCUUAUGAAAUAUUCAAUACAAGGAACAAAAAGUACAGCUAUAAUUCUCUGCAGAAAUAAGUGUUUUUAAUAGAGAGAUACUGGAUCCUUGGGAUCCUAGUUAGUUCCUUUUGUAAAGAUGAAAAUGUGUGCCUUCUAUGCUAAAGUAAUAAUCUCAUAUGAGGUGUAGUAGUUUGAAAACCCAACCCCUAUCAACAGACAAACUUGUCCCAAGAUAGCAGGACAUUUCAAAGCCACUUGAAAGAACCUAUUUCAAGCUGAUUUAUAUGUUAGAAAUACUUUGAGUUCAGGAUUGACUCUCGCAUGAACUCUAAAAGAAAUCACAGACUGAUCCCAGAAUUGUACAGACUUUGUGCAUGUACAAGUGUGUUUGAAAGUUUGAGAAUUAAAAAGACUGUGUCAGAGACUUGAAAUAGCCUGUUUAACACUGAUAACCACCACAGCUUCUUGCAGAAUGUAAAGUGGUGGCUUUUAAAAUUAGAAGCUGGGUAUGUUGCAUCCCAAGAAGCAUAUGAGAUAGCGGUUGCUAGGGUAAGUACUGAUCUGUGCCAGUAACUGAGUAAACAAACAAGAGAAACCCACAUAAAUGGAUGGCUUGGGUACUCGUAACUCACCGACCAUCUGCUUAUUGUGAUUUUUUUCAAUCUCGAGUUUUCUCACCCCAUGAUAUCUUAUGUAUCUGACACUUUGGAAUUCAGGUCUGCUAUAAUGAGAUUAGUCAGUUGUCUUUGUGGUUCUAUGGUUUGCUUUGCAGUGAAGGUUGGAAAAAAACCACAAAGUCCAAGGAAUCAGUGAUAAGACAGCACACUUCCCUGAAAAUCACGUUCUGUGACUUGUGAACAUUACUUCUCAGCUUUUUAAAGUGUUAUUUAUUUUUCAGAAGGAUCUCUUUAUUUUAAUAUAAAAUUAAUCUUAUGUCUUUGUCCUGCGUGUUACAUCCUGUUAAGACUAUUUAGAUCUAUCUGAGAGGUUUUUGUUUCUUUGUAUCUUGCAUAUAGAAAAAUGUUGGUUGAUUUCUUUGAGCAUUCUGUUAUGGGGUUUUAAAGGAUGUGGAAGAUGGCCUUGACUGCUUUUAAAUGGUGAUUGUGCUGGUAAUGUAUGCCACAGGCAGCCUUUCUCCUGGAACAUUGAUAUUUGGGGAUUUUAUUUUAUUUCUGAGUUUUGCAGUGUUGAGGAUCAAACUCUGGGCCUCAGGCCUGCUAGGCAAAUGCUCUACUAUGGAGCUGCAUCCCCUUGCCAGGCACUGUUCCCACAGGUACUGUGGAUUAGCAGUGCUGCCCUUCAGUGUCUCGCAUAUGCCGAAAGGAAAUGCAAGGUGGUGUGUGUGAGCAUGCCUGGCAUUCUUCACAAGGAAGCAUGUGAUUAGUUAGUUACAUCACCAUUAUUACUUGCGCUUCUGCAAAUUGCUUAGGGAAGCUCCACCAUGAGGCAGUGUUGUACUUGUACAAACGUAAGGUUGCCUGGGCUAUUGGACAUGUAAAUGGUGCUGUUUUCCCAGGAGUGACACCCCAGUGACAUCUCCUCAAAUGAGAGAGCAUGGAUGAAGUUUUGUCCAGGCCUGCUGUCCCCCUGAAUUCAAGUCCUAGGUACUUGGAUGUAUAUUUUACAAGAGCUCAUCUAUCUAUUCCUCAUGGGAAUUUGGUAUGUGUGAGAAGGUGUUGUGAUGGUUCCCAGUAAGUCAAUGUUAAAUAGAUGGAUGGUCAUUCUGUCUUAAUAAGAGAAAGAUAUUUUGAUCCAGACAUGGUUGUGCCAAUAGCCCAGCAGAUGACAAACAACAACAACAACAACAACCAGAUUGCAGAGACUUGGCGGGAGAAAAUUGGCAUGGAUGUGUGCUUAGGUCUGAUUGGAACUUCUAGAACUCAUGCAAUUUCAUUGCCAUUGUGAAGGCCUGGGAAAACAAGGCUAUUAGGAGUGAUUAGGCCAUGUAGGCUUCACCUUCAUCAGUGUACUAGCAUCCACAUGGGUUGUUCUAAAAGGAAAUUUUAGCCCUGUCUGUCUUGUCUCUCUUUUGGUGUCUUUGUUUGUCUGUCUGCCCUGCCUUUCACUCUGGGAUAAUACUAAAUGAAGGCCUUGGUCAUGUACCAAUGCCAUCUAUUGGCAGGCUCACUAAAUCCUCUUUUCCAAUGGGAUAUUUUCCAAGAACUAGUGAACUCUUGAAAUCACAAAUAGCACCAAACCCUAUAUAUGCUAUUCAAUUUCCUUUACAUACACACUCAUGAUACCACUUAAUUUAUAAGCUAAGCAUAAUAGAAAUUAACAAUAGAAAUGAUAAAAAGAAUAAUCAUUUUCUUUUUUGGAGGGGGGGGUCAGAUAUGGGGCUUGAACUCUGGGCCUGGGCGCUGUCCCUAAGUUCUUCAGCUCAAGGCUAAUACUCUACCAUUUGAGCCACAGUGUCACUUCCAAAAGAAAAGUUCUUAUAAUAUAAAGUUAUGUGAUUGUCCUCUUUGUCAUCUGUUUGUCUGUCUCUUUCUCUCUCUGUAGAUCUCUGUCUGUCUCUUUCUCCCUCUAUAUAUUAUUCAUACCAGACUUACCUUCCUUGUGCUGACAUGACAUGAUACCAUGCCUACAUAAGGAGAUGAUGUGAGGCAAAUGACACAAAUAUUGUGACAUAGUAUUACUGUUGACCUCUAACUUGAACAGAUGCACUAUGACCCUGCAACAGUUGAUGUGAUACCCUAGAUGGUUGUUAGGCGACUAAGGUGUGCAGAGCAUAUACAAGGUGGAUACAAAGGGAUGAUUCAGGUCACAGGCAGGAUGGAGAUUCUACCACACCUCUAAGAAUGAUGCAUAAUUUCAUUGUAUGCAUAACUUUCUCACUUUUGAAGUUUCUUCAGUUAGAAAAGAAAAUGUUUGACAUGACUGUAGAAGUGAAAUCUUGGAUAAAAAAGGAUCACUGUGUUUUGUUAUAGCAGCAAAAAAAUACACUAAGGCAACCUGCCCGACCUAUGUUUGGAACUGUAGUUAUAGUUGUGACAUUUUCUUCCAGUGACAUUAUGGGAAAGUCUUCAUCUCCCUUUAAACACGACCCCUUUGUGAGUCAUUUUUCUUUGUCUGUACCAGGGUGUUCUACUAUUCUCUUCAACUCCAGCCUCCCUGCAGUCAAAACUGAAUAAAAAAAGUCUUUUUGUGUUUACUGUGUCUCAGAGAGUGCAGACAGGCAUGUGGCCAGAGCUUGGAUUUAUAGAAUUCGCUCUAAGCAGCUGCAAUCAGUUGUCUCCUGGAAGCUUAGAGAAUCUCCAGAGGGCUAAAGAUAAUGAAUGAGCUUUUGUCACUUUGGUAACUAUUUUACAAUGUAUGCAUUAUUCUAAGCAAUUGUAUAGAACUCUUUCCAAUAAUUUUUCAUGAUUUAUAUAACUGUGACCAUCUCUGUGCAGAAGCUGUGUGUGUGUCUUUCUCAGAUUUGUCCUGCAAUUUUACAGUAAGAAAUUAAGUUUGUAUGUUAUGGCAUGCCUUUGGUUUCUGUGCUUUCUCAAGAACAGAGCACACACUUUUGAAGAAUUUCUGUUCUUCACUGGCCUAAGACUUAGUGGAUUUCUACUGUCCCUUUUCCUGGCCAUCAUUGUGCCCCAGUCACAAACAAAGCCAACUGGUAGGGGCUGGAGGUGAUAAGGACUAUGGAGAAACUGAGCUCCAAUUCUUCUAGUCCUUGUUUAAAAACAAACA